rnacentral:tRNA from 1 species
GGAGUCUUGAAGAAAGCUGCUAACUAUCUCAAAGCAAAUAAUUAUUUGUUAGGCCCCC